ACGGUCCAAACUCCUACGGGAGGCAGCAGUGCGGAAUAUUGCACAAUGGGCGAAAGCCUGAUGCAGCAACGCCGCGUGAGCGAUGAAGGCCUUCGGGUCGUAAAGCUCUGUCCUCAAGGAAGAUCAUGACGGUACUUGAGGAGGAAGCCCCGGCUAACUACGUGCCAGCAGCCGCGGUAAUACAGAGGGGGCAAGCGUUAUUCGGAAUUAUUGGGCGUAAAGGGCGCGUAGGUGGUUUCUUAAGUGAGAUGUGUAAUCCCCGGGCUUAACCUGGGAACUGCAUCUCAUACUGGGAGGCUAGAGUACUGGAGAGGGUGGUAGAAUUCCACGUGUAGCGGUGAAAUGCGUAGAGAUGUGGAGGAAUACCAGUGGCGAAGGCGGCCACCUGGACAGUAACUGACGCUGAGGCGCGAAAGUGUGGGGACAACAGGAUUAGAUACUGUAGUCACCUGUAACGAUGACACUUGGUGUGCGGGAGUUGACCCUCCGUGCCGGAGCUAACGCGAUAAGUGUUCCGCC
rnacentral:rRNA from 1 species